UACGUAGGGCGCAAGCGUUGUCCGGAAUUAUUGGGCGUAAAGAGCUCGUAGGCGGCUUGUCACGUCGGGUGUGAAAGCCCGGGGCUCAACCUGGGAAUUGCAUUCGAAACUAUCUGACUCGAGUAUGGGAGAGGGAAGCGGAAUUUCCGGUGUAGCGGUGAAAUGCGUAGAUAUCGGAAGGAACACCAGUGGCGAAGGCGGCUUCCUGGACUAAUACUGACGCUGAGGUGCGAAAGCGUGGGGAGCAAACAGG
rnacentral:rRNA from 1 species